rnacentral:rRNA from 1 species
AACGCUAGCUACAGGCUUAACACAUGCAAGUCGCGGGGUAACGAGAGGGAAGCUUGCUUUCCUUGUCGACGACCGGCGCACGGGUGAGUAACGCGUAUCCAACCUGCCCAUUACCACGGGAUACCCCGUCGAAAGGCGGCCUAAUACCGUAUGCAGUCGUCAGAUGACAUCAGAGGACGACGAAAGGAUUGGCGGUAAUGGAUGGGGAUGCGUCUGAUUAGGUAGUUGGAGGGGUAACGGCCCACCAAGCCAUCGAUCAGUAGGGGUUCUGAGAGGAAGGUCCCCCACAUUGGAACUGAGACACGGUCCAAACUCCUACGGGAGGCAGCAGUGAGGAAUAUUGGUCAAUGGGCGAGAGCCUGAACCAGCCAAGUAGCGUGCAGGAUGACGGCCCUAUGGGUUGUAAACUGCUUUUAUAAGGGAAUAAAGUGAGCCUCGUGAGGCUUUUUGCAUGUACCUUAUGAAUAAGGAUCGGCUAACUCCGUGCCAGCAGCCGCGGUAAUACGGAGGAUCCGAGCGUUAUCCGGAUUUAUUGGGUUUAAAGGGUGCGUAGGUGGUUUGAUAAGUCAGCGGUGAAAGUUUGCAGCUUAACUGUAAAAAUGCCGUUGAAACUGUCGGACUUGAGUGUAAAUGAGGUAGGCGGAAUGCGUGGUGUAGCGGUGAAAUGCAUAGAUAUCACGAAGAACUCCGAUUG